rnacentral:rRNA from 1 species
AUUGAACGCUGGCGGCAGGCCUAACACAUGCAAGUCGAGCGGAGCGGCGGACGGGUGAGUAAUGCCUAGGAAUCUGCCUGGUAGUGGGGGAUAACGUCCGGAAACGGGCGCUAAUACCGCAUACUAUCAGAUGAGCCUAGGUCGGAUUAGCUAGUUGGUGGGGUAAAGGCCUACCAAGGCGACGAUCCGUAACUGGUCUGAGAGGAUGAUCAGUCACACUGGAACUGAGACACGGUCCAGACUCCUACGGGAGGCAGCAGUGGGGAAUUUUGGACAAUGGGGGAAACCCUGAUCCAGCCAUCCCGCGUGUAUGAUGAAGGCCUUCGGGUUGUAAAGUACUUUUGGCAGAGAAGCGGUAUCUGCAGAAUAAGCACCGGCUAACUACGUGCCAGCAGCCGCGGUAAUAC